rnacentral:lncRNA from 1 species
CAAACAGGGAUAGGUUGACUUCCUUUCUUCUUAUUUGGAUGUCCUUUAUUUCUUUCUCUUGCCUGAUUUACCUAGCCAGGGCUUCCAGUACUAUGUUGAAUAGUAGUGGUGAGAGGUGGCAUUCUUGUCUUGUGCCAGUUUUCAAGGGGAAUGCUUCUAGUUUUCACCUAUUAAGUAUGAUGGUGACUUUGAGUUUGUCAUAGAUGGCUCUUAUUAUUUUGAGAUAUGUUCCUUCUAUACCUAGCUUAUUGAUAAUUUUUAACAUGAAAGAAUGUUGAAUUUUAUUGAAAGCCUUUUUUGAGAGAAUUAUGUGAUUUUUAUCUUUAGUUCUAUAUAUGUGAUGAAUCACAUUUAUUGAUUUGCAUAUGUUUGAACCAACCUUGCAUCCCAGGGAUAAAGCCUACUUGAUCAUGGUUUUGAUAUCAAGAUGAUGCUGACUUCCUAGAAUGAAUUGAGGAGGAGUCCCUCUUUGGUUUUUUGGAAUAGUUUCAGUAAGAAUAGUACCAGCUCUUCUUUGUACAUCUGGUAGAAUUCGGCUGCAAAUUCAUCUGAUCCUGGGCUUUUUUUGGUGGGUAGGUUGUUUAUUACUGAUUCAAUUUUGG